AAGUCGUAACAAGGUUUCCGUAGGUGAACCUGCGGAAGGAUCAUUAACACGUAUCCAAACGUUAAAACCCCCCCCGUGAACCUUCAUCCUGCUCUUGUAACCCGCGUAGUUCGCAAUCUCUGAUAAAUCAUAGCCCGGAAAGUUGUAGUGAUUCAGAGACCUCUGGCUACGUGCGAACAUUGGAACAGUUACAAUCGAGCGGUAGUUCUAUAGGCAAUGUUUCCCCAAGCAGUCAGUGUCGGAAAGUGUCAUUGAUUGUGCAAGGAUAGCGCUUCUACGAUUCCUGUAGACCGUACACUCGGGCAGGAGCUUUGCCAAAGAUUCAUUGGGUAAAAAAACCGAACAACUGUUAACAAUGGAUAUCUUGGUUCUC
rnacentral:misc_RNA from 1 species